UAUUCUCUUACCAGUAGUGGAGCUUUCAGUGGUCUCUGCAGUGGGGCUCUCUGUGGUUUCCAAGCUCCCAGUGGGCUCAGCAGUUGGGAUCUCCUCUGUGGUUCUGUAGCUCUCAGUGGACUCAGCAGUUGGGAUCCUCUCUGUGGUUCUGUAGUUCUCAGUGGGCUUAGCAGUUGGGAUCUCCUCUGUGGUUCUGUAGCUCUCAGUGGACUCAGCAGCUGGGAUCUCCUCUGUGGUUCUGUAGCUCUCAGUGGACUCAGCAGUUGGGAUCCUCUCUGUGGUUCUGUAGUUCUCAGUGGACUCAGCAGCUGGGAUCCUCUCUGUGGUUCUGUAGUUCUCAGUGGACUCAGCAGCUGGGAUCCUCUCUGUGGUUCUGUAGUUCUCAGUGGGCUCAGCAGUUGGGAUCUCCUCUGUGGUUCUGUAGCUCUCAGUGGACUCAGCAGCUGGGAUCUCCUCUGUGGUUCUGUAGCUCUCAGUGGACUCAGCAGUUGGGAUCCUCUCUGUGGUUCUAUAGUUCUCAGUGGGCUCAGCAGUUGGGAUCUCCUCAGUGGUUCUGUAGCUCUCAGUGGACUCAGCAGCUGGGAUCUCCUCUGUGGUUCUGUAGCUCUCAGUGGACUCAGCAGCUGGGAUCUCCUCAGUGGUUCUGUAGCUCUCAGUGGACUCAGCAGCUGGGAUCUCCUCUGUGGUUCUGUAGCUCUCAGUGGACUCAGCAGCUGGGAUCUCCUCUGUGGUUCUGUAGCUCUCAGUGGACUCAGCAGUUGGGAUCCUCUCUGUGGUUCUGUAGUUCUCAGUGGGCUCAGCAGUUGGGAUCUCCUCAGUGGUUCUGUAGUUCUCAGUGGACUCAGCAGUUGGGGUCACCUCUGUAGUUCUGUAGCUCUCAGUGGACUCAGCAGUUGGGAUCUCCUCUGUGGUUCUGUAGCUCUCAGUGGACUCAGCAGUUGGGGUCUCCUCUGUGGUUCUGUAGCUCUCAGUGGACUCAGCAGUUGGGAUCCUCUCUGUGGUUCUGUAGUUCUCAGUGGGCUCAGCAGUUGGGAUCUCCUCAGUGGUUCUGUAGUUCUCAGUGGACUCAGCAGUUGGGAUCUCCUCUGUGGUUCUGUAGCUCUCAGUGGACUCAGCAGUUGGGGUCUCCUCUGUGGUUCUGUAGCUCUCAGUGGACUUGGCAGUUGGGAUCUCCUCUGUGGUUCUGUAGCUCUCAGUGGACUCAGCAGUUGGGAUCUCCUCUGUGGUUCUGUAGCUCUCAGUGGACUCGGCAGUUGGGAACUCCUCCGUGGUUGUCAGAAGUUCUGA
rnacentral:lncRNA from 1 species